rnacentral:lncRNA from 1 species
UAAUUGAAAUAAUUCAACUAUAAAAAAUGUUUAAUAACGUCAACAUAGUUACUGCAAAUGCCUUCAACAUAAACAACAUCAAAACCAAUAGCAAAACAAACGUUCCUUCGCCCAGUGUUAUAAAUCAGAGCAACAGAAUCUAAAAUAUUACAUAAAACGGAAAAGAAAGAAGAACAACUUCAACGUUAUCCUUCAACUUCUAAGCAAC